CGAAGGAUGCAAGCGUUAUCCGGAUUCAUUGGGUUUAAAGGGUGCGUAGGCGGACUUGUAAGUCAGUGGUGAAAUCUCUCAGCUUAACUGAGAAACUGCCAUUGAUACUGCAGGUCUAGAGUAUAGAUGACGUUGGCGGAAUAUGACAUUUAGUGGUGAAAUACUUAGAUAUGUCAUAGAACACCGAUUGCGAAGGCAGCUAACGAAACUAUAACUGACGCUGAGGCACGAAAGUGCGGGGAUCAAACAGGAUUAGAUACCCUGGUAGUCCGCACCGUAAACGAUGAUUACUCGUUGUUGGCGAUAUGACAGUCAGCGACCAAGCGAAAGCGAUAAGUAAUCCACCUGGGGAGUACGCCGGCAACGGUG
rnacentral:rRNA from 1 species